GGGGUGCUCGAGUGGCGAACGGGUGAGUAACACGUGAGUAACCUGCCCUUGACUUUGGGAUAACUUCAGGAAACUGGGGCUAAUACCGGAUAGGAGCUCCUGCUGCAUGGUGGGGGUUGGAAAGUUUCGGCGGUUGGGGAUGGACCCGCGGCUUAUCAGCUUGUUGGUGGGGUAGUGGCUUACCAAGGCUUUGACGGGUAGCCGGCCUGAGAGGGUGACCGGCCACAUUGGGACUGAGAUACGGCCCAG
rnacentral:rRNA from 1 species